rnacentral:rRNA from 1 species
CUUGUGCCAGCAGCCGCGGUAAUACAGAGGGUGCAAGCGUUAAUCGGAAUUACUGGGCGUAAAGCGCGCGUAGGUGGUUCGUUAAGUUGGAUGUGAAAUCCCCGGGCUCAACUGGGAACUGCAUUCAAAACUGACGAGCUAGAGUAUGGUAGAGGGUGGUGGAAUUUCCUGUGUAGCGGUGAAAUGCGUAGAUAUAGGAAGGAACACCAGUGGCGAAGGCGACCACCUGGACUGAUACUGACACUGAGGUGCGAAAGCGUGGGGAGCAAAC